rnacentral:rRNA from 1 species
UCCUACGGGAGGCAGCAGUGAGGAAUAUUGGUCAAUGGUCGGGAGACUGAACCAGCCAAGCCGCGUGAGGGAUGAAGGUACAGAGUAUCGUAAACCUCUUUUGUCAGGGAACAAAGGCGGGGACGCGUCCCCGGAUGAGUGUACCUGAAGAAAAAGCAUCGGCUUACUCCGUGCCAGCAGCCGCGGUAAUACGGAGGAUGCGAGCGUUAUCCGGAUUUAUUGGGUUUAAAGGGUGCGCAGGCGGUCUGUUAAGUCAGCGGUCAAAGCCCGGGGCUCAACCCCGGCCCGCCGUUGAAACUGGCAGG